AGGUGGGAGGAUUACUUAAGCCCAGGAGUUUGAGACCAGCCUGUGUGAGAUUGUCUUUAUAAAAAAAUUUUUUAAAAAUUAGGUGGGCAUGGUGGCAUGCAUCUGUAGUCCUAGCUACUUGGGAGGCUGAGGUGGGAGGAUCACUUGAGCCCAGGAGUUUGAGACUGCAGUGAGGCAUGAUUGUACCACUGCACUCUAGCCUGGGUAAUAAAUCAAGACCAAAAAAAAAAAAAAAAGUUAAUUGCUGCUUGUCUUCUUAUUCAGGAACAGCACUAUUGCAUUGUCUGGUGAAUUUAUUUUGCUUCUAAAACAUGCAUGUAUAUUCAGAUAGCAAUAUGACAGAUGUGGGCACAAAAUACACAUUUAAAAUUAGUUUUGGAUAAAAGUUCUAAGAAUUUUUACUUUUAGCUACUAUAACUUUAAUUUCUGUAAAAAUAGAUUAGCCGUUUACCAAUUUAUUCAGUUAUUUUUUCUAAUAAACUUUAUUGAUACCUGAGCUGUGAAUUUAUCAUUUUUUUCCUCUAGUAUCCUCCAGCCUGAACUCAACACAACCUAAAACCCAGAAGUGAGCACAAUGGUG
rnacentral:lncRNA from 1 species